GACGUAGGGCGCGAGCGUUGUCCGGAUUUAUUGGGCGUAAAGAGCUCGUAGGCGGCUUGUUGCGUCGGCUGUGAAAACCCGCAGCUCAACUGUGGGCUUGCAGCCGAUACGGGCAGGCUUGAGUUCGGCAGGGGAGACUGGAAUUCCUGGUGUAGCGGUGGAAUGCGCAGAUAUCAGGAGGAACACCGGUGGCGAAGGCGGGUCUCUGGGCCGAUACUGACGCUGAGAAGCGAAAGCGUGGGGAGCGAACAGG
rnacentral:rRNA from 1 species